GGUUCCAUAGUGUAAUGGUGAGCACUCUGGACUUUGAAUCCAGCAAUCCAAGUUCAAAUCUCAGUGGGACCC
rfam:Fukomys damarensis contig57154, whole genome shotgun sequence.